CUUUUUUGUUUUUGUAAUUUAUUUAAAAUAUUACACUUUCAUUGUAAAUAAGAGACUACUAUCCAAAAA
rnacentral:tRNA from 1 species